rnacentral:lncRNA from 1 species
AUGAUCGUCCCAGCGUGCUUCAAGUUCACCACCAUCAUCCCGGUGCCAAAGAAAUCCUCGGUAUCCUGCCUGAAUGACUACUGUCCCAUUGCCCUGACCCCCAUCAUCACGAAGUGUUUCGAGAGACUUGUCAUGGCGCAUGUGAAGAGCAGCCUCCCCUGCUCACUGGGCCCGCUGCAGUUUGCAUACCAGCUGAACAGGUCGACUGAGGAUGCUAUUUACACUGCACUACACCUCUCCCUCUCCCAGCUGGACAAGAAAGACACUUAUGUCAGAAUGCUGUUCACAGACUUUAGCUCAGAAUUCAACACCAUUAUAUCCCAAAAACUGUUUGACAAACUCAGCAAGUUGGGACUGAGCACCUCUCUCUGCAACUGGAUACCAGAUUUCAUGUCAGAGAGGCCUCAGUCUGUCCGAAUCGGUGACAACAUCUCCAGCACCAUCAGGCUGAGCACAGGAGCUCCUCAGGGCUGUGUUCUCAGCCCACUGUUAUUCACCCUCCUGACACACGACUGCACCACCCUACACAGCUCUAACCACAUCAUCAAGUUCGCUGACAACACAACCGUGGUUGGACUAAUCAUCAGCAACGACGAGUCAGCGUACAGAGAUGAGGGUCAGCAGCUGUCGUUCUGGUGCAGCGAGAAUAACCUGUCACUGAAUUUGGACAAAACCAAGGAGAUGAUCGUCGACUUCAGGAAGACUCGCUCCACCCACACACCACUCAGCAUCCACGGUUCCACGGUAGAGACUGUUAACAGCACCAAGUUCCUGGGAGUUCACAUCUCAGACGACCUCACCUGGACCACCAACCCCACCUCCAUCACCAAAAAGGCCCAGCAGCGCCUCCACUUCCUGAGACGCCUGAAGCGGGCCAAUCUCCCUCCUCCCACCCUCACCAUGUUCUACAAGGGCACCAUAGAGAGUGUUCUGACCGGCUGCAUCCCCGUGUGGUUUGGAAAAUGCAAGGUUGGUGACCUCAGCCAGCUACAUUGGAUCGUCAAAGCAGCUGCCAAGAUCAGAACAUCUCUCCCUGUACUACAGGACAUCUUCCACAAGCGCUGCAUCAGUAAGGCCUCCUGCAUCGUGCUUGACCCCACAUAG